UUAUAAUGAUGUUCUGCCAUGCUAAUACUGAGGGAUUAUCUGGAUCUCGCUGAGUUGAUCUCUUCUAUAUUCUGAAUAUC